UACAGAGGGGGCGAGCGUUGUUCGGAAUUACUGGGCGUAAAGGGCGCGUAGGCGGCCAACUAAGUCAGACGUGAAAUCCCUCGGCUCAACCGGGGAACUGCGUCUGAUACUGGAUGGCUUGAAUUCGGGAGAGGGAUGCGGAAUUCCGAGGUGUAGCGGUGAAAUGACGUAGAUAUCUGGAGGAACACCGGUGGCGAAGGCAGCCCCCUGGGUCAAGACUGACGCUCAUGCACGAAAGCGUGGGGAGCAAACAGG
rnacentral:rRNA from 1 species